rnacentral:rRNA from 1 species
AACGUAGGAGGCGAACGUUAUCCGGAUUUACUGGGUGUAAAGCGCGUGCAGGCGGUCGGCUAAGUUGGGUGUGAAAGCUCCUGGCUCAACUGGGAGAGGUCGCUCAAGACUGGCCGACUGGAGAGCAGUAAGGGAAGGUGGAAUUCCGGGUGUAGUGGUGAAAUGCGUAGAUAUCCGGAGGAACACCAGUGGCGAAGGCGGCCUUCUGGACUGCUUCUGACGCUCAGACGCGAAAGCUAGGGGAGCAAACGGG